CGCAGGUGUGCUCAGGUGGAGGUCAGACCAGGCUGGCUUUGCUCAGGCUGAGGCAGGUUUGUCUGGGCCCCCGUUUGCUAAAGAUCCCCAGGGUCCUGGUGGCAGGGGUAUUCCUGGGGGCUGCUCCUUUGGAGGCUGUGAUGGUAGUGCCUGUAUCCCAUUGCAAAAGCCUCGGGAGGAUUUCCUUGGUAACUGGAGCAUGCACGGUGCCCUAGUUGUGUGCGGGACAGUGGGGGGUGCCAGUGGCCCCCCAUCACAGUCCCCUGUGGCUGUGCAGUCCAUGGGGAGCUGCAGGGGACAGCACAGCAACCCCCCUUCCCAGACGUGGGGAAGAUCCCCGUGCCAGCUGCCGUGCUGUGCCUGGGCCGUGUGGUGGGCCUGGCACCAAACCAGGCUUGGGUGACCCAGUGCAGGGUAAAGCCACGUCUGCAGAGACAGCUGUGGGCCACCCUCUGCUCGGCCAUGGCUGGCGUCUUAUAUGCAGCGGCGAUCGUGACCCGCGACCAGCAGCCUGCACGCGUCCUGAGGGCCAUGCCCUGGCUCCUGAUCGCCCUGGGCUCGGCUACGCUGGACAUGGCCAUCCCAUUUGUUGCUUGUAUGGUGAGAAACCAGAGGGACUGGCAGCUUGUGUCAGAGAUUCCUGAUGCCUGGCCGUUCCUGGCUGGAGAGGAAGAGGAAGAUGAUGAAGGAGCAGAGAAAGAAGAGGUUUUUCUCUCUCUGUGUGGCUGAAGGGCAGAGUGGAGUGCUGCCCUGCUUGGCAGUGUUGCUGCUUGGCCUUUCCAAGGAAGGUGGAGGGAGUAUUGUGGGCCAUGGCCCCAUGGAAGAGUGGUAUGUAGAGCCAGCAUGCUGCAGGGCACUGCUGGCACUGGGAACGACAGCAUCGCUCCAGGGCCUUGGCUACAUGUAUUUGCCUGCUAAGCUAACCUGAGAGCACCUCAAGACCAGUUUGCAGCUCUCAGAUAUUCCUCCUUGCUAAAUUGUCCCUUUGCCCCAGCACCUGGGGUCAGUGCGAGAGGCAGAGUCUGGCAGGGGUCCCUUCCUGCUUUGCUCCAUGUAUGAGGAGGGGAAGGCCUGGCUGCAGGCUCUGAAGUGUCUAAAACACUGAGUGUUUGAUCCUGCUUGCAUCCAAGAAUCUGUUCAGCACUGUCCCAUGCUCACCCCAGGUCCUCAGUUCUUGGUGCCAGCUGGAGCAGUACUGCCAUUUGGAUGGAGGCAGGUGCUGUGCCAGGAGAAGGGUGCUGGGACCCCUUGCUGCAGGGGUUGGUGCUGACCCAGCUCUCUUGUUCAUAGCUGAUGUGGCUCGCUCUCCUCUACAGACUGCAAAUUGGGCACCACUUAACGUGUUUCCAAAAUGCAGAUCCAGGCCCAGGACGGUGGCAGCCAGCCAUUGCCUAGACGAGAUGAUCAGGCUGGUACAGCAGACUGGCUGUAAUGCAGCGAGGCUGCCUGGAGAUGGACAGAGGAGUGCAACAGACCCUGCUCCACUGGACCACCCUGCUUGCUCCCCCAUCCCGGCCCUACACGCUGGGCUCUCCUCCUCCAGCUCCUUGGAUGCUGUGUCCGUUAACUCAGAGCUUGAGUGGGACUUUGAAGACGUGACCGUGCAGUGGAGCCGGCCCAGCCCUGCUGUUCCGGCAUCUCCCACUCCAGAACAGCUCAGUGCUGUGCCCAGACACCUUCAGACAACCUGCAGCCUCUCCAAGACUCCUCGAGCACCCAACUCCCUGGCAGAGCAAGCAGCAGGCAGUAUGAGGAAAUAGCAGAAGAUGCUUCCUCGGGGGUCCCCUGGGAAACUUUGGGGCGCAAUGCCAGGCUGCUGUGCCUUGCCCAGAGUACUGCCUGGGUGGAGCAGUGAUGGCUCUUGGCAUCUCGUUUUGCCCUUGUCCUGCUGCAGCAAGGUGCAUGGCUCUCCCUUCCCUGGUGCUGUUUGCUACAUCCCUGGGAUUGGGCAUGGGGGAGAUACAGCCUCACAGCCGUGCUUAACCCCAGCAGUCUCCUUAGGCUGGGCUGGUGUUUUGCCCAGCAUUUGGUAUUACAAGCCCAGGCUAAGGAGAGCAUCCCAGUAAUGCUCUGCAGACUCUAGAAUUGAAGGCUGCUGAUCUGCCCAGCAAGGCAGUAGGUGGGGACAGUCCCUACCGCAGCCUCCCACAGGUCCCUGGGCUGCUAAACAUUAGUGCUGAAAGCCAGGGAUCAGUGAGAAACAAACCCAUAUUUGGGUUUGUAUGGUAGUAUGGUAGGUAGGUAUGUAAGGUAGUAUGUGCUUUAGGUGCUAUAUAUGGGGGCAUUGACAUGGAGGGGCAUGCUCACAGAGCAUGGUCUACCUGGCAGGUACUGUCAGCUCCCACUGACAACCAUAGCGACAGUGCUGCAGAUGCCUUGAAUGGGCAGGCAAAUUACUGGUCAAAGCUGAACUUCGUGCCCUGAGAUGAUUUUUGUGCCUCCAGAGCAGUGUGGUGCAGACCAGAGGAAGCUGCAGAAACAUAGGUGCCCAAGCAAAGGUCAGGAGGAAGCAGCCAGUUUGCAUUCCUGGCGUUGGACCUGUUGGAGUGCCUUGGGGCCAUGUGUGAGCUAGUGAGCAGCUGCAGUGUGUGGGACCCCCAGGACCCCAUAGCCCACACUAAUGCAUUUGUUACACAUGAAGUCCUGCCUUGUCUAGAACCUCAUCUGUGUCUUUCAAAGCUGCAGCAUGCCUUCCUGCCCCAGCCCCUGGGAUGCUGGCAGGAGGAGCACAGGGCUUGCUGGACAUUAGCUCUGAGCUGUCUGUGUCAGCAGAGGUGUACAGAAGGAUCCAGGAUGGGGAUUCUAGAGCCUGCCUGGCUGCUGUUCUGUUCCUCUGUGUUACAGAGCAUGGAGGAAGGGAAGAGCCUCAUGCACACAGGAGAGAUGGAGAACACAGCCAGGGCCAGCCCAAGGGCCAUGACCCUUCUGUGCAGGCACCUCAUGCACCACGUGAGCCAUAUCUACUGGCCAGCAUGCAUGCAACCUGCUGCUGGCCUCUGUGACUGCCCAGCUCCUGGCACAGCCUGCUGCCAGUUUAGCUGGAGCUUCACUCUUUGCUGGGAGCUCUCGAAGAGAUGCCCCUGAGAUAGGUAGUGGCAGCUCCUAUGAGGAGUAACAGCAGGGAAAGAGCCUUCCCUGUAGCCCCGGUCUGAUGGUGUCUCCCGUGGCCUUUUCUGAAGUGCCAGACACUGAGCUGUCCUUCUUUCCCAAAGGUACUCAGCCUGCCCUUCAGGCUCUGCUCAUGCUAAAGAAACUGGAAGAAGGAAAGAAGGAAGUACUGUACAGCCAGAGACUGUGGCAUUUCAUUGCCAUGAUUUAAUCUCAGCAGCGUGUCCUGCCUGGUGCUGCCUUUCCUCCAGGUGAAUGGCUGAGCCAAUGUCUGCCUUGGGCAGUGGAAAAUGCACCGCUUGUUAACAGGGUGAGGGAUGGCGAGCUGGGGUGGCCAGACCCUGCUUGGUUUGCCUGUAGCAGCAAAAGGAGACUUUGCAGAGCUCAUGUUGAUAAGAAGCCUCUGCAUUCAUGUUUCUAAUGGCCUGAGCCGAACUGCUGAGUGCUCAGGCUUAGAAAUCCAGACGCUAGACAAUGGAAAGGCUGGAAACAUAAAAGAAAGGAAAUUCUUCUGCUGUAUUGCCUUUCCUAUGGCGAUAAGAUAACACAAAGUGAAACAAAAGUCUCUGCUGCAGACUGUGGGGUGGGCACCUCAGCUAUUUUCUAAAGCAGCAGGAGCAUGUCUGCACAAGCUGAGAUCGCCAAAGCUGUUCAGGGUGCGCACAGUGUGUGUGGCAUUCAGACAGAUGCGCAAUGGUCAACUGAAUUUGCAGUGCUUUGCAACUCACCACCUCUUUGAGUCUCAAAGCAACAGGUAACUUGGAGUCCUCCUGCUCCAUCACACAGGCAAGUCAGAGGUGGGAAUCAACUCUCACCACUUUCCCACCCUUGUCUGUAGGCUUAUGUGCUGUCCUUCAGAGCCUUUUGGAAGCCAUAGGGACUCCAGGCAGCACUGGCUGGGCUGUGUCCUGCUUUCCCUCUGCUGGUUUUAAAGGGAGACAAAUCAUUGAGGGCAAAUAAUAAAGCAUUUGGAGUUAUGUACUUGCUUUGGGCUGCCUUUAGCUUUCUGUGUAGCUAUGCCGCUGGCUGCUUGCCAGCUCCUGCCAAAGCCAUCCAUGUCCUUGACUUAUGCACUGACAAGAUAAACCAAAUCAUCAGUCACUGAAGAAACUAA